AGUGAACGCUGGCGGUAGACCUAACACAUGCAAGUCGAACGGCAGCACAGUAAGAGCUUGCUCUUACGGGUGGCGAGUGGCGGACGGGUGAGGAAUACAUCGGAAUCUACUUUUUCGUGGGGGAUAACGUAGGGAAACUUACGCUAAUACCGCAUACGACCUACGGGUGAAAGCAGGGGAUCUUCGGACCUUGCGCGAUUGAAUGAGCCGAUGUCGGAUUAGCUAGUUGGCGGGGUAAAGGCCCACCGAGGCGACGAUCCGUAGCUGGUCUGAGAGGAUGAUCAGCCACACUGGAACUGAGACACGGUCCAGACUCCUACGGGAGGCAGCAGUGGGGAAUAUUGGACAAUGGGCGCAAGCCUGAUCCAGCCAUACCGCGUGGGUGAAGAAGGCCUUCGGGUUGUAAAGCCCUUUUGUUGGGAAAGAAAAGCAGCAGGUUAAUACCCCGCUGUUCUGACGGUACCCAAAGAAUAAGCACCGGCUAACUUCGUG
rnacentral:rRNA from 1 species